rnacentral:rRNA from 1 species
GACGAACGCUGGCGGCGUGCUUAACACAUGCAAGUCGAACGGAAAGGCCUGCUUUCCCUUGUGGAUUGCGGGUACUCGAGUGGCGAACGGGUGAGUAACACGUGAGUGAUCUGCCCCCAACUUGGGUAUAAGCCUGGGAAACUGGGUCUAAUUCCCGAUAGGACUGCAGGGUGGUGCCUGUGGUGGAAAACGAUUUUCUAGUGGUUGGGGAUGAGCUCGCGGCCUAUCAGCUUGUUGGUGGGGUAAUGGCCUACCAAGGCGGCGACGGGUAGCCGGCCUGAGAGGGUGGACGGGCACAUUGGGACUGAGAUACGGCCCAGACUCCUACGGGAGGCAGGAGUGGGGAAUAUUGCACAAUGGGCGGAAGCCUGAUGCAGCGACGCCGCGUGGGGGAUGACGGCCUUCGGGUUGUAAACUCCUUUCGACCGCGAGGAAGCCACCUGGUUGGAAGGGUGGUGACGGUAGUGGUAGAAGAAGCACCGGCUAACUACGUG